GCCGGAGUAGCUCAGUUGGGAGAGCGUUAGACUGAAGAUCUAAAUGUCCCCGGUUAGGUCCCGGGUUCCGGCA
rnacentral:tRNA from 1 species